UACGUAGGGCGCAAGCGUUAUCCGGAAUUAUUGGGCGUAAAGAGCUCGUAGGCGGUUCGUCGCGUCUGCCGUGAAAGUCCGGGGCUUAACCCCGGAUCUGCGGUGGGUACGGGCAGACUAGAGUGCAGUAGGGGAGACUGGAAUUCCUGGUGUAGCGGUGAAAUGCGCAGAUAUCAGGAGGAACACCGAUGGCGAAGGCAGGUCUCUGGGCUGUAACUGACGCUGAGGAGCGAAAGCAUGGGGAGCGAACAGG
rnacentral:rRNA from 1 species